CGUAGGGUGCGAGCGUUAAUCGGAAUUACUGGGCGUAAAGCGUGCGAAGGCGGUUUUGUAAGACAGGCGUGAAAUCCCCGGGCUCAACCUGGGAACUGCGUUUGUGACUGCAAGGCUAGAGUAUGGCAGAGGGGGGUGGAAUUCCACGUGUAGCAGUGAAAUGCGUAGAGAUGUGGAGGAACACCGAUGGCGAAGGCAGCCCCCUGGGCCAAUACUGACGCUCAUGCACGAAAGCGUGGGUAGCAAACAGGAUUAGAUACCCUGGUAGUCCACGCCCUAAACGAUGUCAACUAGGUGUUGGGUGGGUAAAACCAUUUAGUACCGGAGCUAACGCGUGAAGUUGACCGCCUGGGGAGUACGGCCGCAAGGUUA
rnacentral:rRNA from 1 species